GGGGAGAAACUCCGCUGUGGGGAGAGAAUGCAGACCCUCUUGGCCCCUGGCUGCUGCCGGACCCUGCACUCUAUCCUGGGAAAUCACCCACAACUUGCCUUUGUCCCCUCCACUUUCAGGGAACCUCUCCUUCCCCUCAGCCUCAGGCCCAAGUCUGGACUCGUGGCUGGGAACAGGCUGGACCACUGGGUUUGUGAUGAAGUUUUCAACACCUACAAGAAAAUACCAGUGGAGGUUGACCAACAGAUGGACACAUCCCCGCCAUUGUAGAACUAACAGCCCAGCAGGGCUGUAGUGACAAAUAUCAGUGGAGAACACUGAAGCACAGAGAGCUGCAGAAACACGUCCCCGUUUCAAAACUAGUAGGUGGUGCAGUGGGAACUUGAACCCAGAGAAGACUGACUCCGUGGUCUGUGCUCUUAACCACUCAAGGAAGGAGCUGCACAGGCCAUCAGGGACCAGAUCAAGAAGGUCUAUGUAAAUCAUUAACAGUCUGGACUGUAGCCUAAGGGGAAUGGGAAGUCAUUACAGAGUGGUCACUGUGCUUCUGCAGGAGGGAGAGUGAGGACGGGUGGCUUCCUGUAGCCCAUCACCAACAGAGGUUCCUCCAGGAAGGAGAGGGGCUGUCAUCUCUGUAGCCACAGACUUUCCCAUUCUGCCCAUUACAGGACCAUCGAGAACUCUGCACUUCCCUCCAUCAAAGAUGGGAUUGGAAAGCCCAGAGGGAGGCGCACAUGGCAGGAGGCAGGCACUGGAGUGAUGUCUCAGCCUAACUCCUGAAAACAUGACCGAAGGGACUAUGUCUGGCAUUAACGUACUCUCCAGAGCUGAAAGUUCUGCAUCCCAUUAUAUGGCACGUUACUUUGGCUUGAUUGG